GGUGACUAGUAACAGAGAGAGGGAGGGGGUGACUAGUGACAGAGGGAGGGAAGAGGUGACUAGUGACAGAGGGAGGGGUGACUAGGGACAGAGUGAGGGAGGUGGUGACUAGUGACAGUCACCACCUCCCUCACUCUGUCACUAGUCACCACCUCCCUCACUCUGUCACUGUGUUACCCCCUCCCUCUGUCACUGGUCACCCACUCCCUCCCUCACUCUGUCACCAGUCACCCCUUCCUUCCCUCACUCUGCCACUAGUCACCCCUUCCCUCACUCUGUCACCUGUCAUCCCCUCACUCUGUCA